AUGUUCUCUGUAGCUCUGAUACUGCUGCUGGCAGCUGGAUCCUGUGUCAACACUAUUGAUCUCAUCCAGCCAGACUCAAUGGUUGUGCAGCCUGGACAGUCUUUGACCAUCAGCUGUCAGGUCUCUGGUUAUUCUCUGACUGAUAACAGCUAUGCAACAGGUUGGAUCAGACAGUGUGAAGGAAAACCAAUGGACUGGAUCUCCCAUCAGUGGGGUGGAGGUGCCUUUUGUCAAAGUGAUGCUCUGAAGGACAAAUUCAGCUACAACAGAGACACUGCUCUAACAGUCAUUCUAAAAGGACAGAAUCUUCAGCCUGAGGACACAGCUGUGUAUUACUGUGUCCGUGUAGCUUCACAGUGA